rnacentral:rRNA from 1 species
AUUGAACGCUGGCGGCAUGCCUUACACAUGCAAGUCGAACGGCAGCGGGGACUUCGGUCCGCCGGCGAGUGGCGAACGGGUGAGUAAUGUAUCGGAACGUACCUUUCAGUGGGGGAUAACGUAGCGAAAGUUACGCUAAUACCGCAUAUUCUGUGAGCAGGAAAGCAGGGGAUCGCAAGACCUUGCGCUGAUUGAGCGGCCGAUAUCAGAUUAGCUAGUUGGUGAGGUAAAGGCUCACCAAGGCGACGAUCUGUAGCGGGUCUGAGAGGAUGAUCCGCCACACUGGAACUGAGACACGGUCCAGACUCCUACGGGAGGCAGCAGUGGGGAAUUUUGGACAAUGGGGGCAACCCUGAUCCAUCCAUGCCGCGUGAGUGAAGAAGGCCUUCGGGUUGUAAAGCUCUUUCGGCCGGGGAGAAAUCGUAUGGGCUAAUACCCUGUGCGGAUGACGGUACCGGCAUAAGAAGCACCGGCUAACUACGUGCCAGCAGCCGCGGUAAUACGUAGGGUGCGAGCGUUAAUCGGAAUUACUGGGCGUAAAGCGUGCGCAGGCGGUUUUGUAAGACAGGCGUGAAAUCCCCGGGCUCAACCUGGGAACUGCGCUUGUGACUGCAAGGCUAGAGUAUGGCAGAGGGGG